AACUCUUAAAUUGAUUACGUAGCAAAUCCCAACAAAAGAGAAUGCCGAAACAAAUUUGGCCAAACUUUGCUGAUUGUUCCGUCCCGUCUGGAAGUACAAACUAUUGCAGUCCAAGCCAUCGGAAUCGAGAUGCACAAGCCGUAGUUGGAGCCACAAAGCAUAAUUCAAUUUGGUCAAUCAACUGCAACACUUGAGCAGUUAGUUUACUGCCGAGCACAAAUAACCGGCUCUCAUCUGACCGACUGCCUAUUGAACACGAUGAAUUUAUGGCUCAACAUUUUAGCAGAUGAUUGAUGGGAGUUUCGGAGCAGACGCGGGUACAGGUCCUACCAUCCCACCUAGUUUCAAUGUGUGCCUUUGCCCCAGCCUCUAUCUGGCAGUCCAUGCAAAUGCCAAAUGCUAAUGAAUUCAUUCAACAUACAACUUCAAAAGUCAUAAAUACUCCGAGUGCCG
rnacentral:lncRNA from 1 species